rnacentral:rRNA from 1 species
AGUGAACGCUGGCGGUAGGCCUAACACAUGCAAGUCGAACGGCAGCACAGUAAGAGCUUGCUCUUACGGGUGGCGAGUGGCGGACGGGUGAGGAAUACAUUGGAAUUUACUUUUUCGUGGGGGAUAUCGUAGGGAAACUUACGCUAAUACCGCAUACGACCUACGGGUGAAAGCAGGGGAUCUUCGGACCUUGCGCGAUUGAAUGAGCCGAUGUCGGAUCAGCUAGUCGGCGCGGUAAAGGCACACCAAGGCGACGAGCCGUAGCUGGUCUGAGAGGAUGAUCAGCCACACUGGAACAGAGGCAGGGUCCAGACUCCUACGGGAAGCAGCAGUGGGGAAUAUUAGACGAUGGGGGCAUGCCGAAUCCAGCCAUACCGCGUGGGUGAAGAAGGCCUUCGGGUUGGAGAGCCCUUUUGUUGGGAAAGAAAAGCAGCAGGUUAAUACCCCGCUGUUCUGACGGUACCCAAAGAAUAAGCACCGGCUAACUUCGUG